rnacentral:misc_RNA from 1 species
AACGCACAUUGCGCCCCUUGGUAUUCCGAGGGGCAUGCCUGUUCGAGCGUCAUUUCAACCCCUCAAGCCCUGGCUUGGUGUUGGGCCGCGCCAGCAUGCUGGCGGGCCUUAAAAUCAGUGGCGGUGCCGCUGGGGCUCUAAGCGUAGUAGCACAUCUCGCUCUGGAGACCUGGCGGCUGCUUGCCAGACAACCUUCACUAAAACACAAAGGUUUGACCUCGGAUCAGGUAGGGAUACCCGCUGAACUUAA